AGGACGACGCUGGCGGCGUGCCUAACACAUGCAAGUCGAGCGGGGACAUUGGUUUCGGCUGAUGUUCUAGCGGCGGACGGGUGAGUAACGCGUGAGCAACCUUUCUCUCAGUGGGGAAUAACACAGGGAAACUUGUACUAAUACCGUAUGAAAUAGCAGUAUCGCAUGGUGCAACUAUCAAAGAUUUAUUGCUGGAAGAUGAGCUUGCGUCCGAUUAGAUAGUUGCGGGGUAACGGCCCACCAAGUCGACGAUCGGUAGCCGGACUGAGAGGUUGAACGGCCACAUUGGAACUGAGAUACGGUCCAGACUCCUACGGGAGGCAGCAGUGGGGAAUAUUGGGCAAUGGGCGAAAGCCUGACCCAGCGACGCCGCGUGAGGGAAGAAGAUCUUCGGAUUGUAAACCUUAGUCAACAGGGAAGAAGAAAGUGACGGUACCUGUGGAGGAAGCCACGGCUAACUACGUG
rnacentral:rRNA from 1 species